rnacentral:misc_RNA from 1 species
GAAAUGCGAUAAGUAAUGUGAAUUGCAGAAUUCAGUGAAUCAUCGAAUCUUUGAACGCACCUUGCGCUCCUUGGUAUUCCGAGGAGCAUGCCUGUUUGAGUGUCAUUAAAUUCUCAACCUCUCCAGUUUUCUGAACUGCGUCGAGGCUUGGAUGUGGGGGUUUGUGCAGGCUGCCUCAGCGCGGUCUGCUCCCCUGAAAUGCAUUAGCGAGUUCAUACUGAGCUCCGUCUAUUGGUGUGAUAAUUAUCUACGCCGUUGGUCGGGUUCAGACUUGCUUCUAACCGUCCGCAAGGACAACUCUUUGACAAUUUGACCUCAAAUCAGGUAGGACUACCCGCUGAACUUAAGC